rnacentral:rRNA from 1 species
UUGAACGCUGGCGGCAUGCUUUACACAUGCAAGUCGAACGGCAGCGCGGGCUUCGGCCUGGCGGCGAGUGGCGAACGGGUGAGUAAUGCAUCGGAACGUGCCCAGUAGUGGGGGAUAGCCCGGCGAAAGCCGGAUUAAUACCGCAUACGACCUGAGGGUGAAAGCGGGGGGCCGAAAGGCCUCGCGCUCUUGGAGCGGCCGAUGUCGGAUUAGCUAGUUGGUGGGGUAAAGGCUUACCAAGGCGACGAUCCGUAGCUGGUCUGAGAGGACGACCAGCCACACUGGGAGUGAGAAACGGCCCAGACUCCUGCGGGAAGCAGCAGUGGGGAAUCUUGGACAAUGGGGGCAACCCUGAUCCAGCCAUGCCGCGUGCGGGAAGAAGGCCUUCGGGUUGUAAACCGCUUUUGUUCGGGAAGAAAUCCUCUGGGCUAAUACCCCGGGGGGAUGACGGUACCGGAAGAAUAAGCACCGGCUAACUACGUG